rnacentral:rRNA from 1 species
GAUGAACGCUAGCUAUAGGCUUAACACAUGCAAGUCGAGGGGAAACGGCAUUAUGUGCUUGCACAUUUUGGACGUCGACCGGCGCACGGGUGAGUAUCGCGUAUCCAACCUGCCCUUUACUUGGGGAUACCCCGUUGAAAGACGGCCUAAUACCCGAUGUAAUUCAUUGAUGGCAUCAGAUAUGAAUAAAAGAUUUAUCGGUAAAGGAUGGGGAUGCGUCUGAUUAGCUUGUUGGUGAGGUAACGGCUCACCAAGGCGACGAUCAGUAGGGGUUCUGAGAGGAAGGUCCCCCAAAUUGGAACUGAGACACGGUCCAAACUCCUACGGGAGGCAGCAGUGAGGAAUAUUGGUCAAUGGGCGCAAGCCUGAACCAGCCAAGUAGCGUGCAGGAAGACGGCCCUAUGGGUUGUAAACUGCUUUUAUACGAGAAUAAUUUGAUGCACGUGUGCGUUAUUGCAUGUAUCGUAUGAAUAAGGACCGGCUAAUUCCGUG